CAGUCUUGGUGCUCUGUGUUCACCUGGUUCAUCUGAGGAGCUGCAUCUACCCUGCCCAUGCCAUAGAUCCUGCCCUGUUUGCUUCUCCUGUUGCUGCUAGUGGACAUGAGGUAACCACAGCCUAGUUCUGUGAUAAGCUCUUCACACCUGUACCCAUAUGGACUGUGGGAGAGUUUCUCUGAUAUGGACUGUGAUGCGGAAGGACAGAAUAACGGGCUCCCAGAUUCACAAGCCCCACCAAGAGGAUCACCCCAGGAACGCUUGGAGGCUGAGGAGUUCACUGAGGCUACUGCAUCUUGAGACUCAGGAUGAAGACCCAGCUUGGGGCUGUCAAAGGUUUUUUGCAUGUCUGACACCCAUGACUCCACCUGGACCUUAUGGCUCCACCCAGAAGCAAUUCAGCCCAACAGGAGGACAGCUUCAACCCAUUACGAUUUCAUCUCUGCCCCAACCACUCAGCAGCAAGCACCUGUUACCUGUCCACCCCCACCCCUUCCCCCAAACUGCCUUUGAAAAAUCCCUAACCUAUGAGCUUUGAAUAAGAUGAGUACGAACUUCAUCGCCCACGUGGCGUGGCCGGCCUCGUGUCUAUUAAAUUCUUU
rnacentral:lncRNA from 10 species